GUGACCCAAAUGGAGCGCCAGCGCAGUCAGUUCCGUGAGCGCGCGACAGCUUGGUUGACGUAUGCGCUUGGCUCGACACGCCGCGCUCUCGUGAGAUUCUAUUCGCUAUCGUUAUAGUGUGUUGUGCAUUGGAUAUUGCCGUGUACAAUGCAGUGAGUGAGCACUGGCCGGAGCGCCGGUCAUGUGCCAACGCUAGAUCGUCUUGGUGGUUGACCUUUCAAGAUGAAUUUGGGGAAAUUACAAAUACGAAAAGAGAUAUACUAAUCCUUGUCAUGCUGAAACCGCUGUGACGAUUAUACGAGGCAGCGUUCGCGCCAACCGGUGAGCCGACAACAGGGGCCGAGUUGUUCCCGCCAAAACGAGCGCAGGCUGUGGCGCGAAGGCUCGUGAUUGGUCGAGAGAAGCGGCGCGGUGGCGGUGGCGCGGCGCGCUGCGCAAGGCCGCCGGUUUUCCCGCGAACAAUGCCAAAUGGUGCAUUUGUCAAGGUGAGUUCGUUCACCGCCGACGCCGGCGCCGCGCGCUCCUCAGACAAUCGCUCACUCGCUUCGCGCCAAACGAAGGUCGACGGAAGGCAGCGCGGCACUCGCGCGCCGUUUCACCGCUCUGAAGACACAAUCAUUAACAUAUUAUUAUAACUUUAUUACAGGUGAAGUUAAUUUUGUUUUUUUACGAAUGUUACAUUUUAUAUAAACCUUUUUUAUGUUUUUUUUAAUGAUAAAUACUUCAACGUUGAAUAAUGUAAAAUAUAAUCAGUAUCGAAUGAAAGCUUAUUUGAAUGCAACUUUUAUCAUUGUAACCCAAAUAUUUUAUUUAUAUACGUCAACGGAAAACAUGAAAAUGAUGUCAUGAAGCAGAAGAUUGAAGAAAGAAGAACAGUAUCAAGUGCUACGCCCGGACGAACUUCCCAGCUCGGCCGACAUACACGGGUCGGUGGGAUCUUCGUCCGUUUGUAUCGCUUAUACAUGUAUUCUACGAACAACAUCCAGCACUUGAAAACAUCUACAUCUCUGCAAUACACAAGCAAAGAAAAUCAUGCCUCGUGUGAACAACUUCAACGCGCUUCAAAAUAUUUAAAUGUUUUGUUAUUUUUCUACAUUUAGUAUUUAAGCAUAUUUAUUUUGAUUUGUCGCGAUAUUGUACAUUAUUUUUUGUCUGAAUA